GACGAACGCUGGCGGCGUGGAUUAGGCAUGCAAGUCGAACGGUAGGAUACCUUCGGGUAUCUGAGAGUGGCGAACGGGUGAGUAACACGUAGGUGAUCUACCCUCAAGAUUGGGACAACCCAGGGAAACUUGGGCUAAUACCGGAUGAAAGCAGCAGUGAUGUUGUUUGAAAGGUGGCGUAAGCUGCCGUUUGGGGAUGAGCCUGCGCUCUAUUAGUUAGUUGGCGGGGUAAAGCCCACCAAGGCGAUGAUAGAUAGGCGGCCUUAACGGGUGGUCGCCCACACUGGGAUUGAGAUACGGCCCAGACUCCUACGGGAGCAGCAGUCGAGAAUAGUCUACAAUGGCCGAAAGGCUGAUAGUGCGACGCCGCGUGAACGAAGAAGCCCUUCGGGUGUAAAGUUCUUUUAUAUGUGAGCAGUGCUUCUAUGUGAACAGCAUGGGGAGAGAGAUAUUAGCAUAAUGAAUAAGCAACGGCUAACUCCGUGCCAGCA
rnacentral:rRNA from 1 species